UGGCCAUCCACCUCCCUCCCUUGCCCGGCCUUCUGUAGCAUUUUCCUUCAGGUCCCAGGCCCACCUCCCUCCGUUCUUAGUAUGCUAUAACUAAUAUUAUGACCACUCUGAGAGGCGGAUCUGCUUAAAAUCCUCUUCCCACCAUGACUGGGAUCAAGUCCAGUGUUCUUAACAUGGCUUACUUAGCUUAUAACAUGUGAUGAGGCCCCUGCUUAAUUCUCAUUAAUUCUCAUGCCUUUUAUUUUGCAAACCCUAGGUAUGACAGCUCCUCUCCCAACAGCUCUACUUUCUACAUCUACUCUCUACCACCACAAAACUUCUUUCAGUUCCAUGAAAGGGCCAUGUUUUUCUGGUCUCUUGGCCUAGGAGCAUGUUGUUCUUCUGCCAGCAACCUUCUUCAACCAUCUCCACAGGAUGACUCCUCUAUUGGAUACUUCCAUGAAAAGUCCAGGCCUGGGUUAUGUACCCUUCCCAAAGUGCACCCCAGACACCCAACAGUUUUUCCAGCCCAGACUCACCACACUGUGUGGUAAUUUCCUGAUCACUCAGUUGUGCUCCCCACAGACUAUAAGCUCUAUGAGGGCAGGGGCCACAGUUUGCUUGUUCACUACUAUAUGCUCAGUACCUGGUAAAUAUUAGUUGACUGAAGAAUGACUAUGUGGUAAUCUAUUCCAUUGGUGGCCUCCAGUGAACCAUGUCUUCUGGUAUUUACAUCUUGUGUGGUCCCCUCCAUUAAAUUUGGGCUUUAACCAACAGAAUGCUGCAGAAGCGACACCCUGCCACUUGUGCUUUUGUGAUCCUAGCCACCAGUAAGAAGCCCUGUGACCUUGCUGAGACCCUGAAGAGACCACAUAGAGAGGCCACUUGAAGGGCAAGGGGUCCUGACUCUACAUGGAGAGAGAAGCCCAGCCAUCCCUGUUUCCCAGCUGAGUCCUGACCAGAUAACUCACUACAAGACUGACCACAGGCAAGAACAGCAGAAGAGCUGCCCAGCUGAGCCCAUCCAAGAGUGCAGAAUUUCAAGCAAGUAAAAUGACUAAUGUUAGAACUCAGAAUGAAGGGGCCUCAGGUUACCUGCAUCAUUCUGGUUUUUUGCUCCUGUUUUACUACGAAGCAAACACCUCGACUAUAAGCCGCCAUAGACCAGGGUCUGUGUCUCAUUCGUGUCUGGACAAUGCAUCACAGACACUCAACUGUUUUCUGCCUGAGCAGAAUUAAGACUUGGCCUCCUAACUCCUCCAUCACCAUCUUCUCCACUCUCUUCCUUGGCCUUCAUCACCAACACCACCUCAUCAACCGUGAAAGAUUCAAAGAGUAAGGAAAACCAUUUCUAGGACCAUGAAAUGUGUCACUGGAUCUCCUGCAGAAAUCUGCCAGAGCUACAAUGUGACUGGUUUCUACAUGUCUGACAAAUUUCUAUUUAAAUAAGUAUUUUUCAAAAUGCAAAUUGCUACCUAUUCUUUGGCCAUCAAAUCACUUUAGUGGGUUGCAACCGGCUUUUUCUUCUUAAUAGAAAAGGAAAUGUGUUGCAUUUGGUAAACAUGGAAAUUGUUUUAU
rnacentral:lncRNA from 1 species